CCUACGGGUGGCAGCAGUGAGGAAUAUUGGUCAAUGGGCGGGAGCCUGAACCAGCCAAGCCGCGUGAAGGAAGACUGCGCCAUGCGUCGUAAACUUCUUUUGUCGGGGAACAAAGUGCGCCACGCGUGGCGUUUUGCGUGUACCCUACGAACAAGCAUCGGCUAACUCCGUGCCAGCAGCCGCGGUAAUACGGAGGAUGCGAGCGUUAUCCGGAUUUAUUGGGUUUAAAGGGUGCGUAGGCGGUCCGGACAGUCAGCGGUAAAAGCCCGGGGCUCAACCCCGGCGAGCCGUUGAAACUGGCGGACUAGAGACGGCGAGAAGUACGCGGAAUGCGCGGUGUAGCGGUGAAAUGCAUAGAUAUCGCGCAGAACUCCGAUUGCGAAGGCAGCGUACCGGAGCCGGACGGACGCUGAGGCACGAAAGCGUGGGUAUCGAACAGGAUUAGAUACCCGUGUAGUC
rnacentral:rRNA from 1 species